rnacentral:lncRNA from 1 species
GCCCCACCCCCUCCGAGGCCGAAAUCUGCGGAAGUUAAACAGCUCGAGGAUGGAGUCGGCGGCGUUAAGUUCCUAAUACGCGCGUUAUUUCCCAAACUCAGAAGGAUGGAAGAGGGCGCUGUGUGGGCAGGGGGCGUCGGGUCCCUCCGGAGCACAGUUAGGUGGGGGGCUGUCCCAUCCACUUGCCCAGGUGCAGUGGCCGCUAAGAAUCCAACCAAGGCACCAACGCUGCGCCCCACACGCGGGAUGAUUGGGAUGCACAGGGGUGCAGAGUAGAGGGUCUCCGGACGGUUCUCCACCGACUGCCUAGUGCGUCUCACCACGCGCCAGCCUUGGUGACCGCACUACACGUAUGAACUCCUUUGACCCUCGCAACAGCCAUCGAGAAAGGCACUCCCCCCACCCCCCACCGCGAUUUCCACUUCGCAGACCUGGAAACCGCAUCAGAAAGAGGUGAGGUGACUGCUCCGCAUCCGCAGACCCAGGACGCGGAGCUCUGGCCUCUGGAUGGCGGCGACCGCGCUUCCUUCUCCCUCCAGUUUCAGGCUGGGGGACACUCACCCCAGGGACGCGGGGGCGGGUGUGUGUGUUUGGGGGGGGGGGGCUGUAGGAGGGCCCGAGCAUCCUUAAGGGGCGGCUGCUGGAAGGAGGGCCAAAGAUCCAAAGAGGAGGGAGGAAUCCAAGGAUUCGGUGCCUCUAACCUACCUGGGAAACACUCUUCCUCAGAAACAAAGAGUAGUAUUCAAUAAUCAAAUUAAGUCGGUUACAGCAAAUGGAACUUUCUGAGCCAGGGAUUGAAUCCGAGCCACAGCUUUGGCAACCCUGGAUCGUCUAACCCACUGCACUGGGCCAGGGAUCAAACCCACUCCUCCACAGCAACCCGAGCCACUGCAGUUGGAUCCUUAACCCACUGUGUCAUGGCAGGAACACAAGAAGGUAUAUUUUCAUCACUGGAAAAAUAAAAAAAAUAAUGUUACAAAAACGUAGACCCUCUCCAUCCUCCACCGCCAGCAGCAGCAAAAACAAAAUCACACACAGAAAAACUAAGAACAUGGUUUGAGGGAGAAGUGAGUUGGAAGCUGAGUUCAAGAUUGUCCUAACCCAGGACAAUUUGGCUUAAAACAGAAAAGGGAAAUGGCCAUAAACAUCUCUCAGGAAGGGUGGGGCCUCUGGUGGAAAGACAACAUCAAGGCACAGGCUAGGAUUUUCACAGGAUUCAUGCUAGCAAAAUGUUAUACAAGAAAGGUAAUUUUUGCAUCCUUGCCCAGACUGCAUUGAGAAAGACUAGUCAGAAAGUUACUGGUAUGGUUUUAAAGUGGUUAAUGCCUUGUUAUUAGGUGAGAACAGAGUGAAAGGGUGAUUCUCAGAACAUCUCAGUGGUCAAAUUCAGUAGGGAAUGGAGAGACAACCUCACUGGCAUUUAGAGGUACCAAGACUCUACAUGGAAAAGAACAGUCUUUUCCGAUGCCCAAGAAAUUGGCUGAGAGAUGAUUUUGAUGGAAAAGUCCUGAAUGUGAUGAUAUACACGUCCUAUUAGCAUCAUUUAGAAUCAGGAUUCCAACGUUUGAAUACCAACUACCCUAUUUACUCUCUGACUUUUGUAAAAAUUUUAACCUCGUUGAGGGAGUUCCCGUCGUGGCACAGCAGAAAUGAAUCCAACUAGGAACCAUGAGGUUAUGGGUCCAAUCCCUGGCCUCCCUCAGUGGGUUAAGGAUCUGGCACUGCCGUGAGCGUGAGCUGUGGUGUAGGUUGCAGCCGCAGCUCAGAACCCACAUUGCUGUGGCUGUGGCAUGGGCCGGCGGGGCUGCAGCUCUGAUUAGACCCCUAGCUUGGGAACCUCCCUAUAUUGUGGGUGCGGCCCUAAAAAGGACCAAAAAAAAAGAAAAAAGAAAAAAAAAUUUAACCUCUUUGAGCUUUGGUUUCCUUUAUUUUAAAAAUGUAAAUAUCAAUACCUACUUCACAGAACUGUUUUAAGGAUUAAAUAAACUUACACAAAAACACUUAAUGCCUGGUACAUACAUCUCAAAAAUGUUUCAAAACAUACCAUAUUACCUACCAUUGGGGGGGAGCUGGGGGAAGGGUCCACAGGACCUUCCUGUACAUUUUUCGCAACUUCCUGUGAAUCUGUAAUUAUUUCAAAAUAAAAUGCUUAAAAAA